rnacentral:rRNA from 1 species
UUUGAAAUCUGGCGUCUUCGGCGUCCGAGUUGUAAUUUGCAGAGGGCGCUUUGGCAUUGGCAGCGGUCCAAGUUCCUUGGAACAGGACGUCACAGAGGGUGAGAAUCCCGUACGUGGUCGCUAGCCUUUACCGUGUAAAGCCCCUUCGACGAGUCGAGUUGUUUGGGAAUGCAGCUCUAAAUGGGAGGUAAAUUUCUUCUAAAGCUAAAUAUUGGCCAGAGACCGAUAGCGCACAAGUAGAGUGAUCGAAAGAUGAAAAGCACUUUGGAAAGAGAGUUAAACAGUACGUGAAAUUGCCAAAAGGGAAGGGUAGGAGGUCAGAGAUGCGGCCUGGGAUUCAGCCUUGCUUUUGCUUGGUGUUUUUCCCAGAUUGCAGGCCAACGUCGGUUUUGGGCACUGGAGAAGGGUAGGAGGAACGUGGCACCCCUCGGGGUGUGUUAUAGCCUCCUACUGGAUACAGCGACCGAGACCGAGGACAGCAGCGUACUCGCAAGAGCGGGCCUUCGGGCACCUUUACGCUUAGGGCGUUGGCAUAAUGGCCCUCUACCACCCGUCUUGAAACACGGACCA